UACGUAGGGUGCAAGCGUUAUCCGGAAUUAUUGGGCGUAAAAGAGCUCGUAGGCGGUUUGUCGCGUCUGCUGUGAAAACUGGAGGCUCAACCUCCAGCCUGCAGUGGGUACGGGCAAACUAGAGUGCGGUAGGGGAGAUUGGAAUUCCUGGUGUAGCGGUGGAAUGCGCAGAUAUCAGGAGGAACACCGGUGGCGAAGGCGGAUCUCUGGGCCUGUUCUGACGCUGGAGGCGCGAAAGCUAGGGGAGCGAACAGG
rnacentral:rRNA from 1 species